rnacentral:lncRNA from 1 species
UGGUGAUGUCUUACAAGCUGAGCACCGAACUGUUGAGACACGCCAGGUGUCAGUGACCAAGAAGUGGGGUAAACUGUAGUCACAUUGGUGAUUACUCUGUUCUGUAGCUAAGAAUAUGUUCCAAAAGCCAUAAGCCUGAAGGUUGGUCCUGCACGUGCAUACACACACACACACACACACACACACACCCCCCACACACAUAUGAAUGGGACUAAGAGAAAACUCAUGAAAAAAAAAAAAAAAACCAGGCCAUAUCUUCUAAACUGCCCAAGUGAAAAGCAAUCAAGUCUGAAAAUUGACAUUAGCUGUUAAGGAAGGAAAUAAUGGUACAGAUUCUUUUUCUGUCUAUCAAAACCAUUUGAUUCAAGUGAAAUUAAAAAAAAAAAAAAAGCUACCAAACCUGCCAGUAGUAGUGUGGUAUAUAAAGGCACAUUGAUGGACACACUUCAAAAGUAAAACAUGGCAAAUAAUAAUAAUAAUAAGAAGAAGAAGAAGAAGUAACUCCUAUACUGCCCUCAAAAAGGAGCCUGCAAUUAAUGUCAGUCAAUAUUCAUCUUUGCAAAAAAAUCUGAUUUCCACAUUCAGCCAGUGUAGCCAGCAGAAAUUUCUGAUCCACAAUGCAUGGAUUCUUUUAAAGAAAAAAAGAAAAAAAAUCGUAAAAAACAAAACUUUUUUUUUUAAUUCAAAAAUAAUAAAAGUUCUUGUAAGGUAAAUAAUGUAUUUAGCAUGAAGCAUGAAGCAUGAAUUAUUUUCAUAUAAAUAUAGAAAACAGAGAAAAGGCUAUGCCUCUAAUUUUUAAGCCCUUAGGCUUAGAGGUUCUUUGUUUUCC